AUCUUGCUGUUGAUAAUUCCAAUCAAACUUUUGAACAUGUUUGGUUGGAGAAGGAGAAGACUGAAGAUGGUGAGAGAUUUGUACAUCCUUUGGAGUAUUACUCUGUUUUAGAUUUUGUUGAUAAAAAUAGUAUUGAGAGUCUUGUACCAGUAAAGCCUCCCCCACUAGAAUGCACACCUUUCAAGCUUGUGGAGGAAGUCAAAGCGUUGAAGGAGUUGGCUGCUAAGCUGAGCUUGGUUGAUGAAUUUGCGGUAUAACAUGAUUGCUAUCCACUAAUUUUUUACUAAAAAGUUUCCUUUAUGACUUCUAGUCAUCCUUCAUUACUUGUUAGUUGUUAUACCUGUGAAUUCUUAUUUCCGUGGCUUCGUUGUACUUUACAUUUAGAGCUUGUUAUCCCUUUAAUCAUAAGCAGGACCAAUUUUACAA